rnacentral:tRNA from 1 species
GUGAAUAUAGCUAAGUGGUUAAGCGUUGGUCUGUGGAACCAAAGCACGUGGGUUCAAAUCCCACUAUUCACCCCA